UACGUAGGGUGCAAGCGUUAAUCGGAAUUACUGGGCGUAAAGCGUGCGCAGGCGGCUUUGCAAGACAGAUGUAAAAUCCCCGGGCUCAACCUGGGAACUGCAUUUGUGACUGCAUGGCUGGAGUGCGGCAGAGGGGGAUGGAAUUCCGCGUGUAGCAGUGAAAUGCGUAGAUAUGCGGAGGAACACCGAUGGCGAAGGCAAUCCCCUGGGCCUGCACUGACGCUCAUGCACGAAAGCGUGGGGAGCAAACAGG
rnacentral:rRNA from 1 species